rnacentral:rRNA from 1 species
CAUGCAGUCGAACGGUGAACACGGUAGCUUGCUCUGUGGGAUCAGUGGCGAACGGGUGAGUAACACGUGAGCAACCUGCCCCUGACUCUGGGAUAAGCGCUGGAAACGGCGUCUAAUACUGGAUAUGUGACGUGAUCGCAUGGUCUGCGUCUGGAAAGAAUUUCGGUUGGGGAUGGGCUCGCGGCCUAUCAGCUUGUUGGUGAGGUAAUGGCUCACCAAGGCGUCGACGGGUAGCCGGCCUGAGAGGGUGACCGGCCACACUGGGACUGAGACACGGCCCAGACUCCUACGGGAGGCAGCAGUGGGGAAUAUUGCACAAUGGGCGCAAGCCUGAUGCAGCAACGCCGCGUGAGGGACGACGGCCUUCGGGUUGUAAACCUCUUUUAGCAGGGAAGAAGCGAAAGUGACGGUACCUGCAGAAAAAGCGCCGGCUAACUACGUGCCAGCAGCCGCGGUAAUACGUAGGGCGCAAGCGUUAUCCGGAAUUAUUGGGCGUAAAGAGCUCGUAGGCGGUUUGUCGCGUCUGCUGUGAAAUCCGGAGGCUCAACCUCCGGCCUGCAGUGGGUACGGGCAGACUAGAGUGCGGUAGGGGAGAUUGGAAUUCCUGGUGUAGCGGUGGAAUGCGCAGAUAUCAGGAGGAACACCGAUGGCGAAGGCAGAUCUCUGGGCCGUAACUGACGCUGAGGAGCGAAAGGGUGGGGAGCAAACAGGCUUAGAUACCCUGGUAGUCCACCCCGUAAACGUUGGGAACUAGUUGUGGGGUCCAUUCCACGGAUUCCGUGACGCAGCUAACGCAUUAAGUUCCCCGCCUGGGGAGUACGGCCGCAAGGCUAAAACUCAAAGGAAUUGACGGGGACCCGCACAAGCGGCGGAGCAUGCGGAUUAAUUCGAUGCAACGCGAAGAACCUUACCAAGGCUUGACAUAUACGAGAACGGGCCAGAAAUGGUCAACUCUUUGGACACUCGUAAACAGGUGGUGCAUGGUUGUCGUCAGCUCGUGUCGUGAGAUGUUGGGUUAAGUCCCGCACGAGCGCAACCCUCGUUCUAUGUUGCCGCACGUAAUGGUGGGAACUCAUGGGAUACUGCCGGGUCACUCCGAGAAAGGUGGGGGAGAAGUCCAAUCUCCUGCCCCCUUUUUCUUGGGGUUUCCCCAGGCUACAUGGGCGGGACAAAGGGUGGAUACCUGUGGGGGAGGAAAUCCAAAAACCGCCCCCUUUCGAUUUAGUUUUCAUUCACCCCCUGAAAUCGGAAUCCU